UCCCGCGUAGCUCAGUUGGAAGAGCGUCAGACUUUUACGAAGAGUGCUUUGUGAGAUCUGAAUGCCGCGAGAUCGAGACUCGCCGUGGGAG